GACAGAAUGUUGGCCGAUAUGGUUGCCUCUCCUCCCUCUAUCCCCAGCCUCCAUCCCUCCAGAUGUUUUUGCUGAGCUUCUGUCAGCCUUCUUGGCUUACCCUUUAGUCCCUGCCCCAGGGAGCUGAAUUCAAGUAAGUACAGCAAAUGUGGCACAAAUCAAGAAAAAAGCCUGCCUUUUCCUGUUAACUAGCAUUAGUUUUAGUUUAUUUUUAAAGCAACACAUUGUUUUCCUAAUUAUAAGACUUGCCAAACUUAUUGCAAAGAAUGAAAAGAAAAC
rnacentral:lncRNA from 1 species